CGGAGGAUCCAAGCGUUAUCCGGAAUCUAUUGGGUUUAAAGGGUCCGUAGGCGGUUUUAUAAGUCAGUGGUGAAAUCUGGUCGCUCAACGAUCAAACGGCCAUUGAUACUGUAAGACUUGAAUUACUUGGAAGUAACUAGAAUAUGUAGUGUAGCGGUGAAAUGCUUAGAGAUUACAUGGAAUACCAAUUGCGAAGGCAGGUUACUACAAGUAUAUUGACGCUGAUGGACGAAAGCGUGGGGAGCGAACAGGAUUAGAUACCCUGGUAGUCCACGCCGUAAACGAUGGAUACUAGCUGUUUGGAGCAAUCUGAGUGGCUAAGCGAAAGUGAUAAGUAUCCCACCUGGGGAGUACGCUCGCAAGAGUG
rnacentral:rRNA from 1 species